ensembl:lncRNA
CUCUGGCUUAAUAGAAGAAAGGGGAUUCUCAUAUCUGCUUCUGCCUCUAAUGUCUUGACACGUUAUUUUGGUCAAAUUACAUGAAGAAAAUCCAGCCUCACACAAAUUUGUAGUUGGAAAAGGGAGGAAUAUUUUAAUAGCCUUCCAGAUAGCUGAAGACAUUCAUCUUUGACACGACAGCAAAGUUCAACAAGUGGUAGGUUCUUCAAAGUUGGUUGCAAUGUGGGAUCUGACAACCCUAUCGAUGAUUUCAUACUCUGUCACAUCGCUCUGUCUUAGACUCUCGGUACAUAUUUCAUGAUAGCUGGCAUUCGACGUUUUGAAAAUAUUGAUUCACUAAGUUAUGCAUAUUUUCCAAAUGUUAACACAUUUUGUUAUACAAUACGAAAAAGUAACACUUUUUAAUCUCCACCAGUCUCAUCAGAAAAGCCUAGACAUUGGAAAGCUGUCGAGCUCACAGGACAGAUACAAAUUUUACAAAAUUCAAAUUUCCUUUUGAAAGCUUGGUGAUCAUUGGUGAUAAAUAUUGUGGGUUGUUUUCUUAAAAGACAGGCUCACUUAGUUCAUUUUCGAGCAAAUGUCUGCCAAACACCCCAGUUGGAAUAACCAUGGUUAUUUGGCAGCUCAUUCAGCUUGCAACUCAAGCAGAUGAGUGCUCGCCCUCAAAACCAUCACCCUCUGGUGUGCAGCAGAAAUGCUUUCUGUGUACUUCCCAUUUUGUCACAGGGAACAUUAAAAAGAUGUCUACUGAAGGGUCAAGAUUUAAUAAAAUUAUAACCUUUAUGCUUCAUCAAGGACAUUCUUAGGAGAAACUGGACUCUGCUUCUGUCCGUCUUGCUGUCUACUGCGAGUGUGUGAAGAACGCCAGCAGUGCUGGUAGUGUUGUGCCAGGCAGGACUCGUGCUCAGGUGCCAACCGCUGAGCCCACGAGGCCUGUGCACCAUUAGUGCAAUGCUCAGCCAGCGACAAAGGCGAAGGGCGUUCACCUGGGCACCCUCACACUUGAAGAACACAGCUCUCAUCUUUAUUGCUCAAGGUACUUUAGGUGGCAGAUGACAGAAAUCCAACAAGUUGCUUAAGCAAACAAAACAAAACAAAACGAUAUAUGUGCUCACAUAGCUGGGCAGGCUUGAGCGGAUCUCGCCUCCAGCAUGACUGGAUUCAGGGCUCAAAGAAUGUUAACGCCUCUCUCUCCCUCUUUCUCUCUCCACAUCUCAACUCUCUUUUCUCUGUACUUUGGCUUAAUUCUCAUCUCCUAUAAUGGGCGCUCUGCGUAUGUCAGGAAACACAGCCACCAGCAGCUCUAAAACUACACCUGCUUGUAAUUCCAGGAAGAGAGGUCUUUUACGUAGUGUCUGGCCAUCCAGUCUCAUGGAAGAUUCCAGGAAGAGAGGUCUUUUACGUAGUGUCUGGCCAUCCAGUCUCAUGGAAGAUUCCAGGUAGAGAGGUCUUUUACGUAGUGUCUGGCCAUCCGGUCUCAUGGAAGAUUCCAGGAAGAGAGGUCUUUUACGUAGUGUCUGGCCAUCCAGUCUCAUGGAAGAUUCCAGGUAGCCCAGCUAGAGCCAGGUAUCCAUCCCCUGCACCUCUGCGGGAGCCAGAGGUCCGGCUGGGUGGCCACGUGGGCGGCCAGCGGGGAGGUGCUGAGCCUGGCGGCCCCAUCAGAGCCUCAUGAUUGGCACAGGGAGAGGGCUGUGGCCCCAGGAGAGAGGGAAAGCGCCGGGCAGACAACAUAGCAGAUAUCCAUGACAAAUACUGCACUGCCAAGGUUCUCCUCUGCUUUGAGUGUUUCUAAUCAAGAGAGAAUAGAGAUCAGUGAACUGCUCUCAACUCCAUGUUCUCUUGUGUCUCAGCCCCACCACCUCACUGCUAAACCCCGUGCUGCAACGCCAGAGCAGACCCAAUUCCACGGAGGAGCCUGUGUCUGAAGCUCUUUUCUGUUAGGGUCAAAAGUGAGCUAAUGUCUUCUAAAUGGAACAACCUGGAGGGCUUUCUGGAAAAUACAGAAGGUGUUCAGGGAGAAUGGGCGUCAUAAAUAACGGAAGACAUGGCCCUUGCUAGAAGCUACAUAGGAAUACCUGGUUAAAAAGUACGUUUCAGGAGCAUUUUAAAAGAAAGAGCCAAAAUAAAAGGUGGCUGCGUGGGGCUGGCCCCGUGGCCGAGUGGUUAAGUUCGCGCGCUCCGCUGCAGGCGGCCCAGUGUUUCCUUGGUUCGAAUCCUGGGCGUGGACAUGGCACUGUUCGUCAGACCACGCUGAGGCAGCGUCCCACAUGCCACAACUAGAAGGAGCCACAACGAA